GGAUGAGCCCGCGGCCUAUCAGCUUGUUGGUGGGGUGAUGGCCUACCAAGGCGGUGACGGGUAGCCGGCCUGAGAGGGCGACCGGCCACACUGGGACUGAGACACGGCCCAGACUCCUACGGGAGGCAGCAGUGGGGAAUAUUGCGCAAUGGGCGGAAGCCUGACGCAGCGACGCCGCGUGGGGGAUGACGGCCUUCGGGUUGUAAACCUCUUUCGCCAGGGACGAAGAGCAAUUGACGGUACCUGGAGAAGAAGCACCGGCCAACUACGUGCCAGCAGCCGCGGUAACACGUAGGGUGCGAGCGUUGUCCGGAAUUAUUGGGCGUAAAGAGCUCGUAGGCGGUGUGUCGCGUCGGCCGUGAAAACUUGGGGCUUAACUCUGAGCGUGCGGUCGAUACGGGCAUCACUUGAGUUCGGCAGGGGAGACUGGAAUUCCUGGUGUAGCGGUGAAAUGCGCAGAUAUCAGGAGGAACACCGGUGGCGAAGGCGGGUCUCUGGGCCGAUACUGACGCUGAGGAGCGAAAGCGUGGGGAGCGAACAGGAUUAGAUACCCUGGUAGUCCACGCCGUAAACGUUGGGCGCUAGGUGUGGGGACCAUUCCACGGUUUCUGUGCCGCAGCUAACGCAUUAAGCGCCCCGCCUGGGGAGUACGG
rnacentral:rRNA from 1 species